rnacentral:tRNA from 1 species
UCCCUCUUAGCUCAGUGGGUAGAGAAUCUGCCUGCAAUGCAGGAGACCCUGGUUUGAUUCCUGGGUGGGGAA